rnacentral:rRNA from 1 species
GGCGUCUUAGCAUGCAGUCGAGCGGCAGGGGCAGCAAUGCCCCGAGAGCGGCAGACUGGUGAGUAACGCGUGGGUGACCUGCCUUGAGGCUGGGGAUAGCCCCUAGAAAUAGGGGGUAAUACCGAAUACGUUUGCCGGACUGUGGACUGGCAAAGAAAGGGGCCAUGGCCCCGCCUCGAGAUGGGCCCGCGUCCUAUUAGGUAGUUGGGGGGGUAAAGGCCCACCAAGCCCGAGAUAGGUAGCCGGCCUGAGAGGGUGAACGGCCACACUGGGACUGAGAUACGGCCCAGACUCCUACGGGAGGCAGCAGCUAAGAAUAUUCCGCAAUGGACGAAAGUCUGACGGAGCGACGCCGCGUGGAUGACGAAGGCCGAAAGGUUGUAAAAUCCUUUUGCGGAUGAAGAAUAAGGGCGGCAGGGAAUGGCCGCUUGAUGACGCUAGUCCGCGAAUAAGCCCCGGCUAAUUACGUGCCAGCAGCCGCGGUAACACGUAAGGGGCGAGCGUUGUUCGGAAUUAUUGGGCGUAAAGGGCGCGUAGGCGGUCGAGCAAGUCUGGCGUGAAAUCCCCGGGCUCAACCCGGGAACGGCGUUGGAAGCUGCGCGACUGGGGUCAUGGAGGGGUAGUUGGAAUUCCUGGUGUAGGGGUGAAAUCUGUAGAUAUCAGGAAGAACACCGGUGGCGAAGGCGAACUACUAGCCAAUGACUGACGCUGAGGCGCGAAAGUGCGGGGAGCAAACAGGAUUAGAUACCCUGGUAGUCCGCACUAUAAACGAUGCACACUACGUGUUGGGCCGAGCGGUUCAGUGCCGGAGCGAACGUGAUAAGUGUGCCGCCUGGGGAGUAUGCCCGCAAGGGUGAAACUCAAGGAUGACGGGGGCCCGCACAGCGUGGAGCAUGUGUUAUCGAUGAUACGCGAGACUACUGGNUUGACAU